CCAAGGAAGGUGGAACCUGGAGGUCUGCACUGUGAAACGACUAGUCAUUAAUGUGUGCAGUGACAUAUUUUGCGCAAUACAGUCGUGGUUUGAACUUUGAAUUACCUGCAUUGCUGAAGGGCAUCUAUGGUGUACCUAAGGAAAUCUCGUUAAAGUGGUUAUCAAAUUUAGUCAACAUUCAACACCUGCUACAUUCAAGUGAAAAAAUACAUGGCCAUCAUCACUAUUGAAUGUUGUGAAGAAGCUUCUAACACUAUAGUCUAGGCAACGAAGUUAUCAUGCCAGUGCCGUAGCGUCUCGAGAGGUGCGCGUUGUAUUAGUGCUUCAUAAUGCGUUUUUGUUGUCUUGGAACCAUUUCCAAAGAUGACUCUUCGCCAUCGAAUUCUUCGCUGUGCAGAGAGUGUUCCUCGAUGGGUGGUCCUCUAACUUGAUUUGAUUGAUGAAAAAUAAGCUUUAAAAUCAAGAACUAGGGUACUUUCACCUAUUCAGUGCUCAAGACUGAAAACGGAGUUGGACAGCAAAAUUAAAAAAAAAAAAAAAAAAAAAGUGCUAGAAGCUGGGUGCAGGUAGUGGACGAAGGAACGAUGUAAGCAACCUGUAGUAAUGCCUACAGUGUACCAUGUGAGGUGAAGUGACGGCCAUAUUUUUCUACGGAAGAGGGAGGGAGUUGUGGGGGUGGGGCGGUUUUCCAUCACAGUUUUUUUAUUUUGAACGUCACCUGGGUGUGUGUCUUCAGUGACGUCAUCAUGCGAAAGUGGAAUUUCUAUAUGGGUAUUAUUCUUCUAUUCUAAUUUCCUUUUGGUAUUGUUUUAUUUUAUAAAAGGAUACCAAAAGGAAAUUAGUAUUUUAUUUGUCUGUUUGUAUAUUUGAUCAAAAUUUCCUCAUGACAUUGGAAAAAUUCCCGCUGAUGAUGAAUCCAUUUUCUGUCGGUGUCUCGUCUCUUCCAUGUUGUAUUUUUCCCUUUAAUUUCCAUCGGACCAGAGUCUGUCUGCUGUACUCGUUUAUUGUCAUUUUGUUUGAGGGUUAGUCGUUCCAGAGCAGAAACCUUGUUAGAUUUGUGUGUGUGUGUGUGUGUGAAAUAAAAAAAGGUCUGGAAUCUAAAUACUUACAUAAAUGCUUCCGAAAUGUAAUUAAUAAAGCUUUGAAUCGUUAUAAAAUUCAUUAGAAAUAUAAGUUAUAUUUUGAUUGCUGUCCAGAGUCUAUUUAAGCACGAAAUGCGAUAAGAUAACGUUUUUGUGGACAUGUAAAAUUAAGUCUACACGAAUUUUAAAUAUUAAAAGCACGAUUUGUGGAUUAUACUACUAUGUAUGAAUUUAAAUAAAUGGCAUUAGGUGUUUUUGGAGCAGGAAAACGAUUAUUGUCAUGAGGUGUCCCGCUUAUUGGAAUUGAGUCAAGUAUAAAAGAAUGUGUGUUGUUCUUUUUAAAUGUAGGAAAGCGUUAGAUUUUACUGCUAUAAAAUGUCAAGUUUUUGUUCUAUUGCGCGAAGAAAAAUAGAGGGAACGCAGUGCGAUUUAAUUAAAAUCUCUAUCUCAUCCUGGAAAAUAUAUUUAGAAAUACUGUAGUGAAAUUGAUUAUUAAGACACAUUCAAAAAUCUAUUUUUGUAGUGGGAGCUAAUAUGCCAUUGAGAGAAAGUUACAUGACGAAACAAAUUAUUGUGACAUAGGUGAUCAUAGUAUACUUAACUGUUAUUGUGAAAUUGGUGAUCAUGUAUACUUAAAUGUUACCAAGUUUUAUUGAACACACUAUACAAACCACAUACUGCCAUCCAAUACAUUUUUUGAGCUAAUAUAAGAAAGAUUAACAGAAGUAUAUUUUGGUGCUUUGAAUCUGAAUGGUUAGGUUCUCUUUUCUAAUUGUUGUAAGAAGCCUUGUGCAUAAUUCUGUCCCACCCAGUGUGUUUACAAACCAGUGUUCAUUGGCGUUUUGGCUUAUAAGUUUAAGAAUAUGCAUUAUAUAUAUGUAAGUAUUUUCUUAAAGCAACGCGGUUAAAAGCAUACUUAAAAAUAGGACACACAACUGAUAGCAACAUAGGUUAUGAAAUUCCACGUAUGGGCUGUGAUUAAUUUUAUUUAGAUUAGACGACCAAGAGCUUUAACUGUGAAAGUAUAUUUAUAUAAUAAAUACUGAGAAAUAAUCAGAAGGAUGGUACGAACUCUAAAAUGAAAUUGAUGUCAAAUGUAAAAAAUAUUUCUUAAUCUUUACUAAUUUCGUUUUUUUCACAAUUUUUAAUCGACUCUUCAUAAUAUAUAAAGCUGCUUUAUCACUGUCCAUGUUUUCUUUGUUUUAUUCUUGAAGUUAUCGAAUCUUCUUCGAUUAAACGAGAUUAAAUGCAUCAUUUCCACCCACCAUAAAUGGAAAUGCAAUCAUAACAGCCGACAGGAGAAUUGCAAAGCAAUAGAUGAUUCUCCUUGCAUUGCUUCAUUCCCCCUUUGUAUUUUCCACACCAAUAAAUAUCAAGGGGAAAGUUCUGUGAAAAGAGAUAAACGAGGAAUCGUUCGCUGUGAAAAUUUAGCUAAAUCGUUUAUUUCUCAUUUGUUUGUUUUGAUCCAAAUAUCCUAAAGGAAUGC